UACGUAGGUGGCAAGCGUUGUCCGGAAUUAUUGGGCGUAAAGAGCUCGUAGGCGGUGUGUCGCGUCGGCCGUGAAAACCUGCAGCUUAACUGUGGGCUUGCGGUCGAUACGGGCAUCACUGGAGUUCGGCAGGGGAGACUGGAAUUCCUGGUGUAGCGGUGAAAUGCGUAGAUAUCUGGAGGAACGCCGGUGGCGAAGGCGGCAUCCUGGACCGAGAUCGACGCUGAGGCGCGAAAGCUAGGGGAGCAAACGGG
rnacentral:rRNA from 1 species